AGUGAACGCUGGCGGUAGGCCUAACACAUGCAAGUCGAACGGCAGCACAGUAAGAGCUUGCUCUUACGGGUGGCGAGUGGCGGACGGGUGAGGAAUACAUCGGAAUCUACUUUUUCGUGGGGGAUAACGUAGGGAAACUUACGCUAAUACCGCAUACGACCUACGGGUGAAAGCAGGGGAUCUUCGGACCUUGCGCGAUUGAAUGAGCCGAUGUCGGAUUAGCUAGUUGGCGGGGUAAAGGCCCACCAAGGCGACGAUCCGUAGAUGGUCUGAGAGGAUGAUCAGCCACACUGGAACUGCGACACGGUCCAGACUCCUACGGGAGGCAGCAGUGGGGAAUAUUGGACAAUGGGCGCAAGCAUGAUCCAGCCCUACCGCGCGGGUGAAGAAGGCCUACGGGUUGUAAAGCCCUUUUGUUGGGAAAGAAAAGCAGCAGGUUAAUACCCCGCUGUUCUGACGGUACCCAAAGAAUAAGCACCGGCUAACUUCGUG
rnacentral:rRNA from 1 species